rnacentral:rRNA from 1 species
UACAGAGGUCCCAAGCGUUGUUCGGAUUCAUUGGGCGUAAAGGGUGCGUAGGCGGCGCGGUAAGUCGGGUGUGAAAUCUCGGGGCUUAACUCCGAAACUGCAUUCGAUACUGCCGUGAUUGAGGACUGGAGAGGAGACUGGAAUUUACGGUGUAGCGGUGAAAUGCGCAGAUAUCAGGAGGAACACCAAUUGCGAAGGCAGCUCGCUGGGACGUUACUGACGCUGAGACGCGAAAGCGUGGGGAGCAAACAGG